AACAAAAACAUGUUCUUUAGAAUAUAAUUUAAGAUUUAGCCUGCCCAAUGAUUUUUUUUAAUGGCCGCAGUAUUUUGACUGUGCAAAGGUAGCAUAAUCAUUAGUUUUUUAAUUGAAAGCUGGAAUGAAUGGCUGGACGAGAAAAAAACUGUCUUUUUUUAUUUAAUUGAAUUUAAUUUUUUAGUUAAAAAGCUAAAAUUUUAUUAAAAGACGAGAAGACCCUAUAGAUCUUUAUAAUUAUAAUUAUAAUUUUUUUUUAGAUUUUAUAAAUUUUUAUUUUUAAAAUUAUUUUAUUGGGGUAAUAAAAAGAUUGAGUUAAUUCUUUUUUUUUAAAAAUAUUUUAUAAUAAAUUUUUGAUCCAUUAAUAAUGAAUAAUGAUUAAGUUACCUUAGGGAUAACAGCGUAAUUUUUUUAGAGAGUUCUUAUCAAUAAAGAAGUUUGCGACCUCGAUGUUG
rnacentral:rRNA from 1 species